rnacentral:rRNA from 1 species
CUUUCCCUCUGGCGGCAUGCCUUACACAUGCAAGUCGAACGGCAGCACGGGUGCUUGCACCUGGUGGCGAGUGGCGAACGGGUGAGUAAUACAUCGGAACAUGUCCUGUAGUGGGGGAUAGCCCGGCGAAAGCCGGAUUAAUACCGCAUACGAUCUACGGAUGAAAGCGGGGGACCUUCGGGCCUCGCGCUAUAGGGUUGGCCGAUGGCUGAUUAGCUAGUUGGUGGGGUAAAGGCCUACCAAGGCGACGAUCAGUAGCUGGUCUGAGAGGACGACCAGCCACACUGGGACUGAGACACGGCCCAGACUCCUACGGGAGGCAGCAGUGGGGAAUUUUGGACAAUGGGCGAAAGCCUGAUCCAGCAAUGCCGCGUGUGUGAAGAAGGCCUUCGGGUUGUAAAGCACUUUUGUCCGGAAAGAAAUCCUUGGCUCUAAUACAGUCGGGGGAUGACGGUACCGGAAGAAUAAGCACCGGCUAACUACGUG